UACGGAGGAUGCGAGCGUUAUCCGGAUUCAUUGGGUUUAAAGGGUGCGCAGGCGGGCCUUUAAGCCGGCGGUGAAAUCGCGGGGCUCAACCCCAUCCAGCCGUUGAAACUGGGGAUCUAGAGUGUGCGAGAGGUAUGCGGAAUGCGUGGUGUAGCGGUGAAAUGCUUAGAUAUCACGAAGAACUCCGAUUGCGAAGGCAGCCUGCUGGACUGUAACUGACGCUGAUGCUCGAAAGUGUGGGUAUCAAACAGG
rnacentral:rRNA from 1 species